rnacentral:rRNA from 1 species
AUGGAUUGGAAUCCAAAGGUGCUAUGCUGGAAUGUGAGGGGGUUGAACAACCCAGCGAACAGGAAUGUCGUUCGGGAGUUUGUGGUUGAAGCCAAAGUGAACCUAGCGUGCUUGCGAGAAACGAAACUUGAUGUAAUCGAUCCUUUUAUGGUAAUGCAACGUAUGGGGCCAUCGUUUGAUGGUUUUGCCUACUUGUCGGCGUCUAACACUCGUGGCGGGAUUCUUAUGGGGUGGGACACGACGAUGUUGGAGGUGGAUAACAUUGUCAUGGAUACUCAUUCCCUCACGGGGCUGGUGCACACUAAGGACGGGUCGACAUGGUGGGUGACCGUAGUUUAUGGACCGCAAGGGGAUGAUGCGAAGAUGUAA